CGCGGUGUAGCUCAGCUGGAUAGAGCGCCCUGCUGUCGGCAUACAAUGGAUGUGGCAAUCUGAUUGUAUGGGCGGGGAGGUCGCAGGUUCAAGUCCUGCCACUGCGC
rnacentral:tRNA from 2 species